CCCUUAGAUGUUCUGGGCUGCACACGUGCUACACUGGCAGGUUCAGCGAGCUUCAUGCCCUGAUCUGAAAGGAAUGGGAAAUCUUUUCAAAACCUGCCGUGCUUGGGAUAGAUGUUUGCAAUUAUUCAUCUUCAACGAGGAUUGCCUUGUAAGCGCACGUCAUCAGCGUGCAUUGAAUACGACCAUGUAUUCUGUACACACCGCCCGUCGCUCCUACCGAUUGAAGUUUUCGGUGAGUUGACAGGAGGAUUUUUUUGAAACUGGUUCGCCAGUGGAUUUUAGAUCCAAAUGCCAACGAAUCGAUGGCUUUAGAGGAAGGAGAAGUCGUAACA
rnacentral:rRNA from 1 species